rnacentral:rRNA from 1 species
AUUGAACGCUGGCGGCAGGCCUAACACAUGCAAGUCGAGCGGAUGAGAGGAGCUUGCUCCUUGAUUUAGCGGCGGACGGGUGAGUAAUGCCUAGGAAUCUGCCUAGUGGUGGGGGAUAACGUUCCGAAAGGAACGCUAAUACCGCAUACGUCCUACGGGAGAAAGCGGGGGAUCUUCGGACCUCGCGUCAUUAGAUGAGCCUAGGUCGGAUUAGCUAGUUGGUGAGGUAAAGGCUCACCAAGGCGACGAUCCGUAACUGGUCUGAGAGGAUGAUCAGUCACACUGGAACUGAGACACGGUCCAGACUCCUACGGGAGGCAGCAGUGGGGAAUAUUGGACAAUGGGCGAAAGCCUGAUCCAGCCAUGCCGCGUGUGAAGAAGGUCUUCGGAUUGUAAAGCACUUUAAGUUGGGAGGAAGGGUAUUCACCUAAUACGUGAGUAUUUUGACGUUACCGACAGAAUAAGCACCGGCUAACUUCGUGCCAGCAGCCGCGGUAA